AUUGAACGCUGGCGGCAGGCCUAACACAUGCAAGUCGAGCGAGCGGCGGACGGGUGAGUAAUGCCUGGGAAUUGCCCAGUCGAGGGGGAUAACAGUUGGAAACGACUGCUAAUACCGCAUAGGAUUGAAUUGCCAGGGUGGGAUUGGCUAGUUGGUGGGGUAAUGGCUAACCAAGGCGACGGUCCCUAGCUGGUCGGAGAGGAUGAUCAGCCACACGUGAACUGAGACACGGUCCAGACUCCUACGGGAGGCAGCAGGGGGGAAUAUUGCACAAUGGGGGAAACCCUGAUGCAGCCAUGCCGCGUGUGUGAAGAAGGCCUUCGGGUUGUAAAGCACUUUCAGCGAGGAGGCGUUACUCGCAGAAGAAGCACCGGCUAACUCCGUGCCAGCAGCCGCGGUAAUAC
rnacentral:rRNA from 1 species